CGGCGGACGGGUGAGUAACGCGUGGGUAACCUGCCUCAUACAGGGGGAUAACAGUUGGAAACGGCUGCUAAUACCGCAUAAGCCCACGGCUCGGCAUCGAGCAGAGGGAAAAGGAGCAAUCCGCUUUGAGAUGGCCUCGCGUCCGAUUAGCUAGUUGGUGAGGUAACGGCCCACCAAGGCGACGAUCGGUAGCCGGACUGAGAGGUUGAACGGCCACAUUGGGACUGAGACACGGUCCAA
rnacentral:rRNA from 1 species